GGUCUCCCAAUGCUUACCACAGGCUGUCUUCUUUACACUGAUUGUAUAAUAGAUAGUGGAGGUACAGUAAAUGCACCCUAUAUACACCUCAGCCUAGGCCCUUUGCUUGGUCUGUAUUGUGAAUGGGGGAUACAAAA